GAUGAACGCUAGCGGCAGGCUUAAUACAUGCAAGUCGAGGGGCAGCAUGAUUGUAGCAAUACAAUUGAUGGCGACCGGCAAACGGGUGUGGAACACGUACACAACCUUCCAACAAGUGGGGGAUAGCCCAGAGAAAUCUGGAUUAAUACCCCGUAACAUAGCGAUGUGGCAUCACAUUGCUAUUAUAGAUUUUUCGCUUGUUGAUGGGUGUGCGGCUGAUUAGAUAGUUGGCGGGGUAACGGCCCACCAAGUCUACGAUCAGUAGCUGAUGUGAGAGCAUGAUCAGCCACACGGGCACUGAGACACGGGCCCGACUCCUACGGGAGGCAGCAGUAAGGAAUAUUGGACAAUGGACGCAAGUCUGAUCCAGCCAUUCCGCGUGAAGGAUUAAGGUCCUCUGGAUUGUAAACUUCUUUUAUAAGGGACGAAAAAAGGCUUUUCUAAGUCGUCUGACGGUACCUUAUGAAUAAGCACCGGCUAACUCCGUGCCAGCCGCCGCCGUAAAAC
rnacentral:rRNA from 1 species